AGUCAGCGGUGUCAGAGUAAACCCGGUGAACCCGGUGCUCGAGAACUGGGGGAAAGGUCGGCGCAGCGAACGAGCGGAAUCGUGAGAUACUCGCACGCGUCUGGCUAGCUGUGCCAUCGGAGUGUGGCAUGCGCAGACGAGCGCGCGCUGAGUCCACACUGGAUACAGUUGUCACAAGAGUGGUCCGGAAAUCAUUACAUCUCCCGUCCGUCUGACGUGCGUUCACGGACCUGGUUUCAGUGAACUGAGCUGAACUCAGGAACCUCAGUGGAGCAGCUUUCUGUGAAAGAAUCCAGGGCGGAGCCUAUGAGAGGGCUGUGAUUUUGCUGGUCUGUCUAGGUGAGCAGAGCUGAGCAGACAAAAGGCUUCAUCAGUCUACCCCUCCUCUUCAGAGAUUCAGAUAUUCAGUGAAAAAGACAGAGGAGAUUGUAUUUCUCUGUCUGUGAUGUGUUGUAUAGCUGAGGAAGACAUUUGCUGUCCUUGGAAAUGUUUAGCAUUCAUUAAUGUUCUUAGCAAAGAAAUAAAGGGAAUUUAUGGUCGACAUUCGUAAAAUAAAAUCGUCAAUUGUAUAAUAAUUAAACAAUGUAGCCUUUUUUUCACAUACAUGAUUCAAUAAUAAAAAUGAAUGUGGAGUCCUAAACACAUAAUUGACUCAAGGCAGCUAAUGUCCUAUUAAAGAGCGAUAUUUAAUUCUAUAUACAUAUUGGGAAGGUUCAGCCAUUUU